GAUGAACGCUGGCGGCGUGCUUAACACAUGCAAGUCGAACGGAGUUUACAUGUGAGCGGAGGGUGCUUGCAUCUAACAAUCUUUUGAAACUUAGUGGCGGACGGGUGAGUAACGCGUGGGUAACCUGCCGUAUACAGGGGGACAACAGUUGGAAACGACUGCUAAUACCGCAUAAGCGCACAGGACCGCAUGGUCUGGUGUGAAAAACUCCGGUGGUAUACGAUGGACCCGCGUCUGAUUAGCUAGUUGGUGAGGUAACGGCCCACCAAGGCGACGAUCAGUAGCCGGACUGAGAGGUUGAACGGCCACAUUGGAACUGAGAUACGGUCCAGACUCCUACGGGAGGCAGCAGUGGGGAAUAUUGGGCAAUGGGGGAAACCCUGACCCAGCAACGCCGCGUGAAGGAAGAAGGCCUUCGGGUUGUAAACUUCUUUUACCAGGGACGAAGAAAAUGACGGUACCUGGAGAAAAAGCAACGGCUAACUACGUG
rnacentral:rRNA from 1 species